UACGGAGGAUGCAAGCGUUAUCCGGAAUGAUUGGGCGUAAAGCGUCCGCAGGUGGCAAUGUAAGUCUGCUGUCAAAGCGUCUGGCUCAACCAGAUAAAGGCAGUGGAAACUACAUAGCUAGAGUAAGGUAGGGGUAGAGGGAAUUCCUGGUGUAGCGGUGAAAUGCGUAGAGAUCAGGAAGAACACCGGUGGCGAAGGCGGCUCUCUGGGACGGUACUGACGCUGAGACGCGAAAGCGUGGGGAGCGAACAGG
rnacentral:rRNA from 1 species